rnacentral:rRNA from 1 species
GAUGAACGCUGGCGGCGUGCUUAACACAUGCAAGUCGAACGAAGCUGCCUGGAGGAAGUUUUCGGAUGGAAUUUAGGUAGACUUAGUGGCGGACGGGUGAGUAACGCGUGGAUAACCUGCCUUAUACAGGGGGAUAACGGAGAGAAAUUUCCGCUAACACCGCAUAAGACCACAGCACCGCAUGGUGCAGGGGUAAAUAUUUAUAGGUAUAAGAUGGUUCCGCGUCCGAUUAGUAGUUGGUGAGGUAAAGGCCACCAAGGCGACGAUCGGUAGCCGGCCUGAGAGGGGAACGGCACAUUGGGACUGAGAACGGCCCAACUCCUCGGGAGGCAGCAGUGGGGAAUAUUGGACAAUGGGGGAACCCUAAUCCAGGACGCCGCGUGAGUGAAGAAGAUUUCGGUAUGUAAAGCUCUAUCGGCGGGAAGAAAUGACGGUACCUGACUAAGAAGCCCCCGGCUAACUACGUGCCAGCAGCUGCGGUAGUACGUUAGGGGGGCAAGCGUUAUUCCGGAUUUAGCUGGGGUGUAAAGGGAGCGCAAACGGCAUUCAAACUCUGAGGGGAAAAGGCGCGGGUCUCAACCCAUGAAAAUAUUUUGUAAAUUUGUUUGCUUGAGUGGCGGUGGGGGUAAGCG